GGGUUGUGAGGUUAAGCGACUAAGCGUACACGGUGGAUGCCCUGGCAGUCAGAGGCGAUGAAGGACGUGCUAAUCUGCGAUAAGCGUCGGUAAGGUGAUAUGAACCGUUAUAACCGGCGAUUUCCGAAUGGGGAAACCCAGUGUGAUUCGUCACACUAUCAUUACGUGAAUACAUAGCGUAAUGAAGCGAACCGGGGGAACUGAAACAUCUAAGUACCCCGAGGAAAAGAAAUCAACCGAGAUUCCCCCAGUAGCGGCGAGCGAACGGGGAGCAGCCCAGAGUCUGAAUCAGCUUGUGUGUUAGUGGAACGGUCUGGAAAGUCCGACGGUACAGGGUGAUAGUCCCGUACACCAAAAUGCACAGGUUGUGAACUCGAAGAGUAGGGCGGGACACGUGGUAUCCUGUCUGAAUAUGGGGGGACCAUCCUCCAAGGCUAAAUACUCCUGACUGACCGAUAGUGAACCAGUACCGUGAGGGAAAGGCGAAAAGAACCCCGGCGAGGGGAGUGAAAAAGAACCUGAAACCGUGUACGUACAAGCAGUGGGAGCCUCUUUAUGGGGUGACUGCGUACCUUUUGUAUAAUGGGUCAGCGACUUAUAUUCUGUAGCAAGGUUAACCGUAUAGGGGAGCCGAAGGGAAACCGAGUCUUAACUGGGCGUUAAGUUGCAGGGUAUAGACCCGAAACCCGGUGAUCUAGCCAUGGGCAGGUUGAAGGUUGGGUAACACUAACUGGAGGACCGAACCGACUAAUGUUGAAAAAUUAGCGGAUGACUUGUGGCUGGGGGUGAAAGGCCAAUCAAACCGGGAGAUAGCUGGUUCUCCCCGAAAGCUAUUUAGGUAGCGCCUCGUGAAUUCAUCUUCGGGGGUAGAGCACUGUUUCGGCUAGGGGGUCAUCCCGACUUACCAACCCGAUGCAAACUGCGAAUACCGAAGAAUGUUAUCACGGGAGACACACGGCGGGUGCUAACGUCCGUCGUGAAGAGGGAAACAACCCAGACCGCCAGCUAAGGUCCCAAAGUCAUGGUUAAGUGGGAAACGAUGUGGGAAGGCACAGACAGCCAGGAUGUUGGCUUAGAAGCAGCCAUCAUUUAAAGAAAGCGUAAUAGCUCACUGGUCGAGUCGGCCUGCGCGGAAGAUGUAACGGGGCUAAACCAUGCACCGAAGCUGCGGCAGCGACACUAUGUGUUGUUGGGUAGGGGAGCGUUCUGUAAGCCGUUGAAGGUGUACUGUGAGGUAUGCUGGAGGUAUCAGAAGUGCGAAUGCUGACAUAAGUAACGAUAAUGCGGGUGAAAAACCCGCACGCCGGAAGACCAAGGGUUCCUGUCCAACGUUAAUCGGGGCAGGGUGAGUCGACCCCUAAGGCGAGGCCGAAAGGCGUAGUCGAUGGGAAACAGGUUAAUAUUCCUGUACUUGGUGUUACUGCGAAGGGGGGACGGAGAAGGCUAUGUUAGCCGGGCGACGGUUGUCCCGGUUUAAGCAUGUAGGCGGAGGUUCCAGGUAAAUCCGGUACCUUUUAACGCUGAGGUGUGAUGACGAGGCACUACGGUGCUGAAGUAACAAAUGCCCUGCUUCCAGGAAAAGCCUCUAAGCAUCAGGUAACACGAAAUCGUACCCCAAACCGACACAGGUGGUCAGGUAGAGAAUACCAAGGCGCUUGAGAGAACUCGGGUGAAGGAACUAGGCAAAAUGGUGCCGUAACUUCGGGAGAAGGCACGCUGAUAUGUAGGUGAAGUGAUUUACUCAUGGAGCUGAAAUCAGUCGAAGAUACCAGCUGGCUGCAACUGUUUAUUAAAAACACAGCACUGUGCAAACACGAAAGUGGACGUAUACGGUGUGACGCCUGCCCGGUGCCGGAAGGUUAAUUGAUGGGGUUAUCCGUAAGGAGAAGCUCUUGAUCGAAGCCCCGGUAAACGGCGGCCGUAACUAUAACGGUCCUAAGGUAGCGAAAUUCCUUGUCGGGUAAGUUCCGACCUGCACGAAUGGCGUAAUGAUGGCCAGGCUGUCUCCACCCGAGACUCAGUGAAAUUGAACUCGCUGUGAAGAUGCAGUGUACCCGCGGCAAGACGGAAAGACCCCGUGAACCUUUACUAUAGCUUGACACUGAACACUGGUCCUUGAUGUGUAGGAUAGGUGGGAGGCUUUGAAGUGUGGACGCCAGUCUGCAUGGAGCCAUCCUUGAAAUACCACCCUUUAAUGGCUGGUGUUCUAACGUGGACCCGUAAUCCGGGUUGCGGACAGUGUCUGGUGGGUAGUUUGACUGGGGCGGUCUCCUCCUAAAGAGUAACGGAGGAGCACGAAGGUUAGCUAAUCCUGGUCGGACAUCAGGAGGUUAGUGCAAAGGCAUAAGCUAGCUUGACUGCGAGAGUGACGGCUCGAGCAGGUGCGAAAGCAGGUCUUAGUGAUCCGGUGGUUCUGAAUGGAAGGGCCAUCGCUCAACGGAUAAAAGGUACUCCGGGGAUAACAGGCUGAUACCGCCCAAGAGUUCAUAUCGACGGCGGUGUUUGGCACCUCGAUGUCGGCUCAUCACAUCCUGGGGCUGAAGUAGGUCCCAAGGGUAUGGCUGUUCGCCAUUUAAAGUGGUACGCGAGCUGGGUUUAGAACGUCGUGAGACAGUUCGGUCCCUAUCUGCCGUGGGCGCUGGAGAAUUGAGGGGGGCUGCUCCUAGUACGAGAGGACCGGAGUGGACGCAUCACUGGUGUUCGGGUUGUCAUGCCAAUGGCAUUGCCCGGUAGCUAAAUGCGGAAGAGAUAAGUGCUGAAAGCAUCUAAGCACGAAACUUGCCCCGAGAUGAGUUCUCCCUGAGACUUUAAGUCUCCUGAAGGAACGUUAAAGACGAUGACGUUGAUAGGUCGGGUGUGUAAGCGUAGCGAUACGUUGAGCUAACCGAUACUAAUGAACCGUGAGGCUUAACCUUACAACGCCGAAG
rnacentral:rRNA from 1 species